UGAGUAACACGUAGGCAACCUGCCGUAAGACUGGGAUAACUACCGGAAACGGUAGCUAAUACCGGAUACGCAAGUCUCUCGCAUGAGGGGCUUGGGAAAGGCGGAGCAAUCUGUCACUUACGGAUGGGCCUGCGGCGCAUUAGCUAGUUGGUGGGGUAACGGCUCACCAAGGCGACGAUGCGUAGCCGACCUGAGAGGGUGAACGGCCACACUGGGACUGAGACACGGCCCAGACUCCUACGGGAGGCAGCAGUAGGGAAUCUUCCGCAAUGGACGAAAGUCUGACGGAGCAACGCCGCGUGAGUGAUGAAGGUUUUCGGAUCGUAAAGCUCUGUUGCCAGGGAAGAACGUCCGUUAGAGUAACUGCUAACGGAGUGACGGUACCUGAGAAGAAAGCCCCGGCUAACUACGUGCCAGCAGCCGCGGUAAUGCGUAGGGGGCAAGCGUUGUCCGGAAUUAUUGGGCGUAAAGCGCGCGCAGGCGGCUGUUUAAGUCUGGUGUUUAAUCCUGGGGCUCAACCCCGGGUCGCACUGGAAACUGGGCAGCUUGAGUGCAGAAGAGGAGA
rnacentral:rRNA from 1 species